rnacentral:rRNA from 1 species
GGACUACUGGGGUUUCUAAUCCCGUUCGCUCCCCCAGCUUUCGCGCCUCAGCGUCGGUCUUCGGCCAGAGCACUGCCUUCGCCAUCGGUGUUCCCCCUGAUCUCUACGCAUUCCACCGCUACACCAGGGAUUCCGCGCUCCUCUCCGACACCCUAGCCGUCCAGUCUCCGCUGACACCCCGAGGUUGAGCCUCGGUCUUUCACAGCGGACUUAAACGGCCGCCUACGCGCCCUUUACGCCCAGUAAUUCCGGACAACGCUCGCCCCCUACGUAUUACCGCGGCUGCUGGCAC